UACGUUCCCGGGCCUUGUACACACCGCCCGUCACGUCACGAAAGUUGGUAACACCCGAAGCCCAUGGCCCAACCCACUUGUGGGGGGAGUGGUCGAAGGUGGGACCGGCGAUUGGACG
rnacentral:rRNA from 1 species